AGAGUUUGAUCCUGGCUCAGGACGAACGCUGGCGGCGUGCUUAAUGCAUGCAAGUCGAACGAAGAACCCGCUAUGGGUAACCACUGCGGAAUUCUUAGUGGCGAACGGGUGAGUAACACGUGAGAAACCUGCCCCGGAGACCGGAAUAGCCCAGGGAAACCUGGAUUAAUACCGGAUACCCUCCGACGAUCGCAUGAUCGACGGAGGAAAUGGUCCGCCGCUCCGGGAUGGUCUCGCGGCCUAUCAGUUAGUUGGUGAGGUAACGGCUCACCAAGACUACGACGGGUAGCUGGUCUGAGAGGACGAUCAGCCACACUGGGACUGAGACACGGCCCAGACUCCUACGGGAGGCAGCAGCAGGGAAUUUUGCACAAUGGGCGCAAGCCUGAUGCAGCGACGCCGCGUGGGGGAUGAAUGCCUUCGGGUUGUAAACCCCUUUCAGGAGGGACGAAGCGAAAGUGACGGUACCUCCAGAAGAAGCCCCGGCCAACUACGUGCCAGCAGCCGCGGUAAUACGUAGGGGGCGAGCGUUGUCCGGAUUUAUUGGGCGUAAAGAGCUCGUAGGCGGCUCAGCAAGUCGGCCGUGAAAGCCUGAGGCUCAACCUCAGGACGCCGGUCGAAACUGUUGUGGCUAGGGUUCGGUAGAGGAGAGUGGAAUUCCCGGUGUAGCGGUGAAAUGCGCAGAUAUCGGGAGGAACACCAGUAGCGAAGGCGGCUCUCUGGGCCGAUACCGACGCUGAGGCACGAAAGCGUGGGGAGCGAACAGGAUUAGAUACCCUGGUAGUCCACGCCGUAAACGAUGAUCACUCGUUGUAUGCCUAUAUUUGGUAUGCGACUGAGCGAAAGCAUUAAGUGAUCCACCUGGGGAGUACGUCGGCAACGAUGAAACUCAAAGGAAUUGACGGGGGCCCGCACAAGCGGUGGAACAUGUGGUUUAAUUCGAUGAUACGCGAGGAACCUUACCUGGGCUUAAAUGUAGAACGACUUUCGCCGAAAGGCGAUUUUCCUUCGGGACGAUCUACAAGGUGCUGCAUGGUUUUCGUCAGCUCGUGCCGUGAGGUGUCGGGUUAAGUCCCAUAACGAGCGCAACCCCUAUUGUUAGUUACCAGCGGAUAAUGCCGGGGACUCUAGCGAGACUGCCACCGUAAGGUGAGAGGAAGGUGGGGAUGACGUCAAAUCAGCACGGCCCUUAUGUCCAGGGCUACACACGUGUUACAAUGGCCAGUACAGAGGGCAGCUACCUGGUGACAGGAUGCAAAUCUCACAAAACUGGUCUCAGUUCGGAUCGGAGUCUGCAACUCGACUCCGUGAAGUUGGAAUCGCUAGUAAUCGCGUAUCAGCAACGACGCGGUGAAUACGUUCCCGGGCCUUGUACACACCGCCCGUCAAGCCAUGGAAGCUGGGGGUACCUGAAGUCCGUAACCGCAAGGAUCGGCCUAGGGUAAAACUAGUGACUGGGGCUAAGUCGAAACAAGGUAGCC
rnacentral:rRNA from 1 species